rnacentral:tRNA from 1 species
GAAAUAUGAUAGUCAAGAAAAAGCUUCUAACUUAAUUCUUUAGCGGUGAAGUUCCGUUAAUAUUUCU